GGGAACGUAGCUCAGUGGGAGAGCAUCUGCUUUACACGCAGGAGGUCGUAGGUUCAAAUCCUACCGUUCCCACCA
rnacentral:tRNA from 1 species